rnacentral:tRNA from 1 species
UCCGAUGUGGUCUAGUGGCUAGGAUUACCCGCUCUCACCAGUGAGCAAAUUCCGGGUAGGCCCGGGUUCAAUUCCCGGCAUCGGAA